ACCAUUUAUUACAGUAUAAAUACAUAGGUACGGGUACCUUAUAUUAAAAUCGAAUGUUUUAAGGUUAAAUUAUUUAAAGCUCCAUUGAAAUAUUAUAUUAGGUACUUGUGUGUUCGUAAUUUGGCUCCGAUGUAUGAGGAGUUUGAGACUCGAUUCAAAACAGUAUUGUAAUCAGUAAAAAUGCGGUGUUGUGUACCUUUCUGCAAAAACACUGGACAAUGUAUCCACAUUCGGGAAAGAGAUCAGUUUUCAUGGUUCCCCGAUGAAGAGAAUCGUCGUGUUGCUUGGCUCAGAGCCCUCGGCAAACAAGACAGUCACCUACCAGACUCUGCUGUGGUCUGCUCGCAACAUUUCUAGAUGAUAACAUUUAUGAAACAGAAAACGGUGUAAGGCAAAUUAGUACUGGUGCUAUUCCUUCAACAGUGCAGGUUUGCAUGAUAUGCCUAGACACUGACAGCAAGCUGGUUCUAAUGAGUAAACAAAAAAUUGGAUGAAGCAUAUGAAAAGUUAACUGGACUUCCUCCGUUCCUCUGCCCGCGAGACUUGCGACAAGUAACGAGAUAAAAGAGCCAUCAACUGAAGAAGCUGGGGCAAGCGUCGGUAGCCGAUACGAAAAAACAGAUUGUUUUGUAAAAUUUUGUGAUGUUUCCAUUAAAAA